GAGGUGGGGUCUGAGUGACGCUCUGAGUAGAGGGAGACCCUGGACAAGUGGGAUGGCCUACCCAGGCCAGAGACUAGAGAGCUAGGAGGGGCAGAGGGCCAUGAGUAGUGGAUGUCAGCAAGCCAUAGUGGGGCAUCUGACUGGAUGGGGCAGGGCACAGCCCCUAGCCAGCUUCAGAGGACACUGGGGCUGGGCUGAGGGCAGGCUAUGGCCAGGUCCUGGUAGAGGGGCCAGGUGGCAGCCGCCCAGGCUGGGACAACCCAGUCAGGGACUACAGCAGGCUUUGGGGAGAACAGGGCUGCCAGUCCAUCAGGAAUGCAAAGGAGGCCAGGGCAGGGGCAGGGGCAGGGCCUAGGCCCUCCUGAGCCAUGCCUGAGGUGGGCAGAUGAGGACGGGCCAGAGGCCCCAGGCUCUGCUCACUACAAACCAAGCAGGGCCCAUGGAUGUGUCCAGCAUCUGAGGCUAUGGCCUGAGGCCCUGUAGCGGCAGAGGGUACACAUCUGGUGGAGGGAGGGGGCAGAGGUCAUGCAGGGAGAGCCAGCCACACACACACCUGAGGCCCAUGGGCCCAGUGCCAGCUGCACUCACACAUGCCUCCUCUCCCACAGCCAAAAACACGGCCCCAUCAGUCUUCCCCCUGGCUCCCUAUGGUGGAGAUACAUCCAGCCCCACAGUGGCCAUGGCCUGCUUGGUCAAGAACUACUUCCCAGAACCCGCGACCGUGACAUGGAACUCAGGCGCCCUGACCAGCGGCGUGCACACCUUCCCGGCCGUCCAGCAGUCCUCAGGGCUCUACUCCCUCAGCAGCAUGGUGACCGUACCAGCCAGCAGCUGGUCCAGCCAGACCUAUACCUGCAACGUAGCCCAUCCGGCCAGCAACACCAAGGUGGACAAGCUUAUUGGUGAGAGGACGUCUGAGGGCAGGCUCUAUCCUGAUGAUGAUCUGUCUAUCUCUGUCUCCCCAUCACCAGCAUGUGAAGUGGUGGGAGGCCCAUCCGUCUACAUCUUCCCCCCAAAGCCCAAGGACACCCUCAUGAUCUCACUGACGCCCAAGGUCACAUGUGUGGUGGUGGAUGUCAGCCAGGAUGAACCUGAUGUCCAAUUCAAUUGGUACGUGGACAACGUGGAGGUGCGCACAGCCCAGACGCAGCCUCGGGAGCAGCAGUUCAACAGCACAUACCGUGUGGUCAGCACCCUCCCUGUCCUGCACCAGGACUGGCUGAAGGGCAAGGAGUUCAAGUGCAAGGUCACCAACAAAGCCCUUCCGGCCCCCGUCAUGAAAACCAUCUCCAAAGCCAAAGGGCAGGUCCGUGAGCCGCAUGUGUACGUCAUGGGCCCUGCACGGGAGGAGAUGACCCAAUCUAGGGUCAGCUUGACCUGCAUGGUCACAGGCUUCUACCCUGCGGAUAUGGCUGUUGAGUGGGAGCACAAUGGCAGGCCUGAGAACAACUACAAGACCACCCCUGCCGUGCUGGAUUCAGAUGGGUCCUUCUUCCUCUACAGCAAGCUCACCAUAAGCAAGGAGAGUUGGCAGUCAGGAAAUACAUAUACGUGCUCCGUGAUGCAUGAGGGCCUGCACAACCACUACACCCAGAAGUCCCUCUCCGUGUCUCCGGGUAAAUGAGCUCUGCACCCAGCAAGCCCCUCGCUCCUGUGAGGGUGCACGACCCACCCAUGUACAUACCUCCUGGGCAAACAGCAUGGAAAUAAAGCUCCCAGCACUUCCCUGGGCCCCUG